UAUGCACUGCUUAUUGUAGACAGUGCCACCGCCCUUUACAGAACAGACUACUCGGGUCGAGGUGAGCUUUCAGCCAGGCAGAUGCACUUGGCCAGGUUUCUGCGGAUGCUUCUGCGACUCGCUGAUGAGAUUGUAUCUGAGGAAAGGAAGAGGGGAAACCAGAAUCUGCAAAAUCUACGACUCUCCCUGUCUUCCUGAAGCUGAAGCUAUGUUCGCCAUUAAUGCAGAUGGAGUGGGAGAUGCCAAAGACUGAAUCAUUGGGUUUUUCCUCUGUUAAAAACCUUAAGUGCUGCAGCCUAAUGAGAGUGCACUGCUCCCUGGGGUUCUCUACAGGCCUCUUCCUGUUGUGACUGCCAGGAUAAAGCUUCCGGGAAAACAGCUAUUAUAUCAGCUUUUCUGAUGGUAUAAACAGGAGACAGGUCAGUAGUCACAAA
rnacentral:lncRNA from 1 species